UACGGCUAUAUCACGCUGAAACACUGUUUCUCGUACGAUCACCGAAGUUAAGUAACGUUGUGCCUGGUCAGUAGUUAGAUGGAUGACCGCUUAAAAAAUACCAGGUACUGUAAG